ACAAAAAAAAGAAGAAGAAGAAGAAAAAAUAAUUUUUUUAAGCAAAGACAGAAAAAGAAAUUGAAACAGAGAUUCUUCACCUUCUUCAAUCUUUUUUUAUCUCUUUAUUUCAGCGAACAGCCAAUGGCGUCUUAGUAAAGGCAAUGUAAAAGAAAGGGGGGAAAACAAAGCGCAAAAACCCUAACAGAUUGAGAGAAAAGGAGUAGCUAUGGUGAGUGAAUUC
rnacentral:lncRNA from 1 species